GAGAGAAAACCAGCUGAAAAGUGUGGCAAUCUGAAAAUAGCAAAGCUGGAGGGAUUUCUCUGGAUCUGAUUUACUGGUCAAAGUCUUGAACCAGGAGAAAAUUCUGGCAGUAGAAUCAGUAGACUUCAAACCAAACAAGAAAAUGACAACAAGUUCAAAAGGAAAAUGUUGAUCCAGAUCUCAGGAAAUGGCAAACUUUCUGGAAAGGGCCAGAUGGUAUUUUGCUUAAAAGACAAUCUUACCUUCUUUGAAGCCCUCCUGUGACUGAAAUGAUACUGGCUGAGUCCUGC